rnacentral:rRNA from 1 species
UAUCUCUGUAGAGUCUGCAUAUCAAUAAGCGGAGGAAAAGAAACUAACAAGGAUUCCCUUAGUAACGGCGAGUGAAGCGGGAAGAGCUCAAAUUUGAAAUCUUAAAGGUUUUCCCUUGACGAAUUGUAGUCUAAAGAAGUGUUUUCUGUUGAAGUUUCGGUAAAAGUUCUUUGGAAUAGGACAUCAUAGAGGGUGAGAAUCCCGUAUUUGACCGUUACUUUUCCAGCUGUGUGAUACACUUUCAAAGAGUCGGAUUGUUUGGGAAUGCAGUCCAAAAUGGGUGGUAAAUUUCAUCUAAAGCUAAAUAUUGGCGAGAGACCGAUAGCGAACAAGUACCGUGAGGGAAAGAUGAAAAGAACUUUGAAAAGAGAGUUAAACAGUAUGUGAAAUUGUCAAAAGGGAAGCGUUUGACACCAGUGUUGUUUUCUCGAAAAUCAAUUAAAAAUGGCCGGAUUUUGUGUUGUAUUGACUUUAUCAGCUUUCUGCACUUUUUUCUUAUCUUUUUUAAUGCACUUUUCGUUUAACAAGUCAACAUCAAUUUCUUUUGUUGUAAAAGAGUCAUUGGAAGGUGGCUUUUUCUUCGGAAAAAGUGUUUAUAGCCUUUGGCUUCUGCAAUCGGAGAGAUUGAGGUCUGCAGCGUAGAUCCUUCGGGGUUAGAUACAUUUGUGCUAAGCUAUAGUUCUUUAUAGACAACUUGUUGACUAUAAUCAAUCCUGUAACUUACUCGCUUAUGCUAUUUUACCUACGCUUAGGAUGUUGAACGCGCACAGAGUCUC